AGCGCAGGUGGUUUAAUAAGUCUGAUGUAAAAGGCAGUGGCUCAACCAUUGUGUGCAUUGGAAACUGUUAGACUUGAGUGCAGUAGAGGAGAGUGGAAUUCCAUGUGUAGCGGUGAAAUGCGUAGAUAUAUGGAGGAACACCGGUGGCGAAAGCGGCUCUCUGGACUGUCACUGACACUGGGGCUCGAAAGCGUGGGUAGCAAACA
rnacentral:rRNA from 1 species